UAAGAGAACAAGGAAGCUUUUCAUGGUGAGUUCCAGCGCCUUUUCCCCCUAGAGAGCCAGUGUGGUGUAGUGGUUAAGAGCGGUAGACUCGUGAUCUGAUGAACCAGGUUCGCUUCCCUGCUCCUCCACAUGCAGCUGCUGGGUGACCUUGGGCCAGUCACACUUCUCUGAAGUCUCUCAGCCCCACUCACCUCACAGAGUGUUUGUUGUGGGGGAGGAAGGGAAAGGAGAAUGUUAGCCGCUUUGAGACUCCCAAGGGUAGUGAUAAAGCGGGAUAUCAAAUCCAAACUCUUCUCUUCUCCUAGAAAAAUAGCACUGUCUAUACUGUUGCCCACCCUUCUCUGGCUUGCUGCCACCACAUCCAAAAGCAGUCCACAAGGCUUCCGUGCCAAAGAAUGAUAAGAAGCAUACGCGUCAACUAAGAAGCAUAAGAGGAGUGGGCGGUGAUGUCAUGUGUGUGUGAUGUCAUACACAUGUGCGGAGUGCCCUGAGUACCGGCUUCUCCAGUUGCUGCUGUUGAGGGAAGAGGCCCCAGCUCCUGCCAUUGUUGUGACACACCCCACUCCCUACAGGCUGUGUGCGCUGUGCAUGCCACAAGUUGCGUGCCACACGCACAACAUCAGGAAGAGCCAAGGCCUCUUUCCCCGGCAGCUGCAGUGGCAGGAGGAGGAGAAGUCAGCCAUGGAAGCUGUGGGUCCAUGCUUGGCCUCCUCUGUCCCCUGAACAUUGGGGGUGGGGUGGGGGUGGGGGCUCUGCCGCAGCCAAAUAAAUAUUUGCCCCUCCCAAAGUCCUCUGACAUAGUGCCCUGAUAGGAAGUGUACUUUAAGGCUCCCUGUUGCUCCUUUGCAGCUGUGCCUGUGCCAUAUAUGAUGCCAUGUGUGAUAGUGAAUUAUUUGAGUAGGUUUGAACAAUUUGGGGUAAUUAUAAUGUUAAAAGUUAAAUAAACCUUGUGGAUGGAGGAGUGUUAAAUGUACCGGUAUAUAAAAUUGUACAUAUGGUUGAUUUGAAUAUGUUAUUAUUGAUUAUGUAUACCCAAUGUAUCAGCCGCCUGGGGGGUUUCACUGUUUGUGCUUUGUUUGUUGGUAAAAAAUAAAAAAAAUAAACUUUUGUUUAAAAAAAAUGAUGCCAUGUGUGCGACAGGCUCACAGAGUUUGGAGGAAAUGGCUUUGCAGACCAAACUGGGAUCCAUGCCAGGCCCAAUGCCCUACCCCGGCUUUAGAGAGCUUCUGAUAAAGUAGAUCUGCAAUAGUCAACAUGUUACCCUCUAGAUGUCGCUGGACUACAGCUUCCAUCAUCCCUGACCAUUGGCUAUUCCUGCUGUGGCUCAUGGGAGUUGGAGUCCAUCAACAUACGGAGAACACCAGCUGUCCCUGAGGGAGGCAAUACUGUGUUAAAUGCACCAAUACUUUGACUUGGUCUUAGGCAGCCUCAUACCUUCCUGUACCACUUGCUGUUUAGGAGUACUUUUAAUAGCGAUUUCUUGCUGCCCCUUACAUCCUGGAGCUGGCACCUUCUCUAUGGUUUGGUAGUGUGUGUAAUGGUGCCAUCAUUUCAUUUCAUUUCACUUUUGUGUACUGCCUUCCUCUAUUACCACAUGCAAGGCGGUUUAUGAGCUAAAGAACCAACAAAAUUGACAGCCAAGAUCACACACCUAAUAACAAUCUGAUGCAAUACAAGUCACGAUAAAAGCAUAACUUUAAAAUAAACACAUCAAAUAAAGCAAUAUUCAACGAUCCAUUAGAAUAUAACAGUAAACAGUAAAAUUAAACAUCGGCAAACAAUAAUUAAACAGUUCACACUUAACAAUUACAAUUAAUAGUUACUAAACUAUAAUCAAUCAAAAUAACAGCCAGCCAAAUGCACAAAAUACCACAAAGCAUACAAAAGGAUCAAACUGAGAAACAAAGACACACAAGUUAUAAUUUAUUUAUUUUAAAAAUACCCCUCUUCUCUCUUCUACUCUCUUCUCAGAAGUCAUGGUCUGGGAAAGGCUCCCACGGCUGGAGGGUGGGCCAAGGCAGAUGGAAAAAGCCACUGCGUGAUGGUCAGCGAAGUCUCUCUACCCUCACAGUUCUUCAUCUGAAAACAUCUUUCUUAUGAAGACGAAGGCUUGGGGAGCAGACAUCUGGGACCUUACUCUACAGAAAGAACUGGAAAGCCCCAAAGCACAGAAGGGCUGGCUUAUUACAUUGGGGAAUAAGUAAACUAAUACACUCCUCUGAAAACCAUCAGGUUCAGAGUCCAAAACUGGAACGCUGUGUGCAUGUGUGAUUGCCUUGAGGAACAUGAUCUUGUUAUACCUACAGUUACCGAGGGAGGGAGUAGAAUAAAGACCAGGAC